UUUAUUAUUAUCAUUAUUCAUUUUAGACUUCUCUUUUGAAGACACCGCCGUUUUGGAUUGUGUAUAUGAUGUAAAUUCGAUAUAUUUCUACUUUAGAGGAAUAUUUCUAUUAUUUCUCGUAUACACGUUUAACCGACAGAAGAACAAAUUAUAUUUUAUACAAUGGCGGCAGACGAGAGAGGGGUGAGAGGGGAGAGAGGGCAAUUCGAUUCACAAAAAAACCAAUAUUUGUAAUAAUGUGCGCUCGAGUGAUACUUGUCGACAAUUUAUAUUUUAUUUUAUAUUGCACC